UGGGGAAUAUUGGACAAUGGGCGAAAGCCUGAUCCAGCCAUGCCGCGUGUGUGAAGAAGGUCUUCGGAUUGUAAAGCACUUUAAGUUGGGAGGAAGGGCAGUAAGCGAAUACCUUGCUGUUUUGACGUUACCGACAGAAUAAGCACCGGCUAACUCUGUGCCAGCAGCCGCGGUAAUACAGAGGGUGCAAGCGUUAAUCGGAAUUACUGGGCGUAAAGCGCGCGUAGGUGGUUCGUUAAGUUGAAUGUGAAAGCCCCGGGCUCAACCUGGGUACUGCAUCCAAAACUGGCGAGCUAGAGUAGGGCAGAGGGUGGUGGAAUUUCCUGUGUAGCGGUGAAAUGCGUAGAUAUAGGAAGGAACACCAGUGGCGAAGGCGACCGACUGGGCUCAAACUGACUCUGAGGUGCGAAAGCGUGGGGAGCAAACAGG
rnacentral:rRNA from 1 species